rnacentral:lncRNA from 1 species
CUCCCGGUAGCGCGCCCAGACCCGCCAUAUGUCUACACAUAUAAGGCGUCUACAACAACAGCGGAAAUAAAGCAAGAGAUGAUCUACAACUAGAGAUAUCAGAGCAAGUACACAUCUAUAAUCUAAGAUAAGAGAAGUUGGAACAAACUAAAUAAUUAAAGAGGAAACAUAAAGUUAUACAAUAACCAUCUCAAAAGUACACAAAAUGGGUGGUCUCUAUUACACUGGUACAGCUCUCAACCUCUCCAAAAAAGAAACAACGAGAGGUAGACCACCUAUCAACGCGUCCCUCGAAGCCAAGCUAGCUCGAGGCGAUACCCUUUCCGCGGUCCCUAGCCUCUCCCGGCGUGGAAGGCUCUGAAAUAAAACAUAAAACAGAGGGCGUGAGAACUAUAAUUUAUAGUUCCCAGUGGGCAAUUACUAACCUCAGCUCAAUGCACCACUAGGCCCCAAAAGAAAAGGGUAAGUACGAUAAGCCACGAUAAUAGUAAAUAGAUUGCAUUUACGAAAGCAUAAUUAAAAUGCUAAGUUACUAUGUCGCAAAUAAACAUGAUGUCAAUGUGUUGUACAUCUACUUUAUCAAGAAGAAGUAUAUUCAAGCAUGACUAAUACGUCCCAACAUAACGAGCAAGUAGGUAUCAUGAUCCACUAUAUCAAUAUGUGACGAAUAUGCUCUAUCAUAGCAACCAAGUAUACUAAGAUGCAACAGGCAAUUUAUUAAGUAUACAACAUGUCUCAACACUAUGCUAUAAGCAUGUCAAAGUAAUCCAACUACUAAUCCUAUCUAGUAGUGAUUGUUAUCUCCCGAUUAAAUGUCAUUGUUUAAUCAUGUUCCAGGACCUACAUAAAUGUAGUCCAGCUUGUGCCACCUAAGUGUCGGUGGUAGCUCCAGCAUUUCCACUCUAGGAAUGAGUCUACCCCUCCCAACCCCGUAGGUUUCUCGAUACCGCACGAGCGAGCAAAAGUCGCGUAGGCCAACUCCGGAGUGCCGGCUUGUAGGGAGCGACCCUCACAAGCAUGUGCGAAUGAGCACAAAUGGCAAGCAAGCGUAGUCAACGUCUCAAAUACCCAAUCAUCAUGUCUCUAACAUGGUAAAAGUCACUAGCAUCUCAAAGAUCUAGUUCAAUGUCUCAAAGUGAUGUUCCAACACUCACUAUGCUUAGUGCCUCUUUAUGACACUUAAGCUUGUUAUAAGUUAACACAUUUCAUAAUCGAUGUUCCAUUCAUGACAUUAGUACUAGGUUCUCAUUUAACCCGAGCUCAAUGCCCCUUUAUGACAUUAGCCCAAUUAUUCACAAGUAGUACAAGUCCCCGAGCCUCUUUAUGGCUUACUAAGAUCCUUUAAGUUUCAAAUAGGAAUAGCUUUAAAUGCAUGCAAGUAAUGCUCAUUUUCACAAUAGGAAUUAUAAUUCCAAGUCUCAAUAGGAUGCCAAUCAUGUACAAGUUCCACAUGCUAGUUCUCUACUACAUAGAGGUCCGAAAAUUUCUUACACAUAACAUGGCAUGUUAAGGAUCCUAAAAUUCACAAUAAUUAUAUUUAUCAUGAAAAUGAAUGAAUUUCAAUUUUACGAAACAUAAAACAUAGGAUAUGAGAAUUUCUCAUAUGCUAGGCUAGGUCAAACCCACCGAACCGUCUCGAAACCCUUCGUUUCACCGAACGGAGUUGUACACAAUUCUCUAGGCUAGGUCAAACCCACCGAACCAUCUCGAAACCCUUCGUUUCGCCGAACAGAGUUGUACACAAUUCUCUAAAUACCCUAAAGGUAAGGAAAGAAGAGAUAAGCAAACGUUACGAACAACUCUAGGCUCAAACAUUAACCACCACAAGCAAAGGGGCAAAAACUCACCUAAGGAGUAGAAAAUCUCUCUCAAGCUCCAAAAGAGAGCUAGAUCCCUUCCAAUCUGAUCUAAUGGAAGAUUCUAUUCCAAUCAAUUUAGCUCAAAAGGCCCUAAAAUCAAAAUGCCCAAAAUCAACCCUAAAAUCACAUUCUAGGGUUUCAUCUCAAAGAAAC